UAAAACUAUGUGUAUCACAGAGUUUCUGUAAGAGUUCUGUGAAAGACACACUAUUUGUGGGUAAUGCCCAAAACCACUACUGAUACUGCACAGGCAGUAAUAUAGUGCUGAGCAGCUCACACAUAAAACAAGAAACAAGUCUUUCACGGUAAAACAAAAGCUUCAGAGAAUGUAGUAGCUAGAACCAGCAUCCAAAUGGCACACAAAUUAGCAACCAGCAGCUGCUCCUGUGUUUUCAGUAACAGCCGUGCAGCAAACUCUGACACCUUAGAGACAGAUGACAGGAGAGAAUACAGACCAGACCCCACCAGCUGAGGCUUAUCAACGGUACCUUAAUGAGAAGAUACUGAAGAGUGAUAACAAAAGUUCCUUAAUGAGAAGGAACUGAAGAGUGAUAACAGAAGUUUGGUUACAAAACCCUAUUACUUUCAGACCUAUUAUUUUCAAUGCAAUCCAUGGACCAGGCAGCAGCAUCACCUGGAGAGAAGCUUCUUGGAAAUACAGUAUGGCAAGCUCUGCCCCAGACAUGCAGAUUCAGACCCUGCCUUCUAACAAUGGCCACAGAUCAGCAGAAACAGAUCAGCAGCACCCUUUGGAGAUUGGCAUGGUAAUGAAAACCUUUCUGGGUCAGAGGACGCUGCAUUCUAGAAGAGCACCUAUUAACUUCCCUGUUCAUGUGAGCAGCCUGGAAUGAGAAAAGGAAGAAAAGGGCACAAAAUACAGAAUACCAAAACAUGGAUCCUGGUAAGCUCAAAGAACGCCGAUGGAUGAUAAGGCUCUGAAAGAUGGACAGAGGUAAUGUAUGAAGCAAUGGUAUGUGAGGUUAUUGGGCAAGUCAGAGUUGCUUCUGCCACAUCCAACAAGUGAACACCACAAGUGACCAGCCCACAUCAGUUCCUUUGAGUUCAUGGUAAGAGAUCAUUUUCCUUUGUAAAAUUCUGUAACACAUAACCAUCUAUGGCUCUUCCAUUCUAUCAAAUACCACUGGCUCUAAAACAGAGGGGGCUGGAGCAGCCCUUCUGUACUUAGAGGUACUUGAGAACUGUAUCAUUUCUAAUUAUAAGAAGAGGACUCAUUAAUUAUAGACAAGGACAGUUUGUGGAGUUCUAAUAUUUACUGUGCUCCAAGAAAUCUGUUCUAAGGACUUUGCCAUCUAAUCAUCAGUCCUCUCAGCAAUGAUAUAAUCAAAAGGAAUGUGCACACUAAACCCCUGGACUAGUAGUCAUCUAUGCUCUUCAAAAAGAUAUCCAAUAAUACAGGUGAUAUCUCCACCAAUAAAUAUAAAAUUAACAAUUUAGGCAUUCAUUGAGAAUCUAAAAUUUAUUUUAAUAGACUUCUUAUUUACUUUUCUCAUUGCUGAGACAAAAUACUCAACAUCCACAAAUUGCAAGAGGAAAAGUUUAUUUCAGCUCAGUUUGUAGAGGUUUCAGUCCAUAGUUGGCUGGCUCCAAGGCACGGAAGCAUGACAGAGAGGCUUUGCAGAGGAGAAACAGUCCAUGGUAUGGUAGACACAAAGCAGUAAGCAACAUCAGAAGAAGCAGCAGGAGCAGCAGCACCAGCAAGCCCCUCUUUCCCUUUUAUCUCACCCAGGCUACAAGCCUUUUGGGUGGUGCCAGCAAACCCAGGGUGGGCCUUACCAUUAUCCGCACUCAAACCUAUGCUAAUUCCAAUCAGUGGACUAAUUUAGUAGCACAUACCCUUAAUCCCAGUACAAGACACCCUAGAUCCAGCUAGUUCCAAAUAGCCCCAUCUAUGAGUGUGUGAGGGUUUGGAAGGACAUCUAGAUACAAUAAUAACAGAGGAUCAUAUCAAACUGUGUGGAGAACAGUAGGUUUUAUUUAUAAACAUGAAAAAUCUUACUUUUCUUUUUUUUUAAUUUUUAAGGUAGAAAUUCUGAUGAGCUUGGAUAUUCUCAAGUCUUACUUUGCUUGGAGGAUGAAGUGACACACAGAACAUUGGAAUGCUGCCUCAUUCACAUACGGCUUACCUUGCAUGCAUUCUAACAGCAAUGUGCAAGAAGCAGAGACUGGCAAAUUCACAAAUAUAUAGGGAUUUGAGAUUUCCCAUGCAAGUUAUUCCAGAAAUGCCAAGUAUUUUGUUUAUGACAAAACAAGAACUAAAAUGUUGACUGCCAUUUUCACCACCAGAGAGAAAACAGAGUGACAGGCUUUCAUGUUUUUGAUAAAAUAGGCAAAAGGGGAAUAGUCAUUAAUCUUGCUGAAGCUCUGUAAUAUAAAAUUAUUUAGGUGGCUGUGAAAGGAAAUUAAAUAUGCUAUAGAGAAAAAAAACAUAGCUUUUAGGGAGAUCUGCUGCUUUUUAAAAGACGAGUCUGUGAUUCUACAAUAAUGACAUAAAAGCCGAAAUGCUAUUUCCUAGUCUAUUACAUUUUAGCUGUCACUGAAACUAAAGUAAUGGAAA